rnacentral:rRNA from 1 species
UACAGAGGUCUCAAGCGUUGUUCGGAUUCAUUGGGCGUAAAGGGUGCGUAGGUGGUGGGGUAAGUCGGGUGUGAAAUCUCGGGGCUCAACCCCGAAACUGCAUUCGAUACUGCCUUGCUCGAGGACUGGAGAGGAGAUUGGAAUUCAUGGUGUAGCAGUGAAAUGCGUAGAUAUCGUAAGGAAGACCAGUGGCGAAGGCGAAUCUCUGGACAAUUACUGACGCUGAGGCACGAAGGCCAGGGGAGCAAACGGG